UGCAGAAGUGGCAGACUCUUAAGCCAUGUGUCAAAUGAAUAUAGAAAAAAGAGGAACAUAGAGAGAAAGAAUGGGAGAGAAGAAAGAAAGAAAAUGGAAGAAAGAUAGAAGGAGAGAGUCAGAAAGUGAGGGGGGAAAGAAAGACAUAUCUAUAUUGCAGGUGGGACUGCAAUCCAGGUCUAGGUCAGCUCCAUCUAUCAAACUGCUGGUGAUGAGGCCAAAGCCAUGGAAAUACUAUGGGACCCUGUUACAUCUAUUUGUUUCACAAUGGAAAAUUGUAUCCUAAAGUCUAGUCCAUCAAAAAGAUGCAUGGUCUUGUUACCCUACAUAGACUUAACUCUUUGUGAUAAAAACUUGUGGUUGUUGCUGUACAUUCAUUUUCCAAGAGGACCAGUGCUAUCAUGAAUUAAUGUCUUAAUUUGUAUGUGAAUUAAGUGAGGUAGAAUUAUACACAAAUGUCAACCUUACUCUGUCUUCUGAAGUCAUAGAAGUAUAGUAGCAAGAGAAAAGUCAGGAUGAGUAGUAAUGGCUCAGGAUGCAGUGGAUGACCAUGGCAUCUUCAACUCCUGAAGUGCUUGCUUCAGCUGCUUUCAUGGCUAAUGGAACAAAAUGGUCUCAUAUACCACCCAUUCUGCAGUUUUCACUGAUUCUCAUCAUUUUCCCUAAUUUCUCUACCACAGAUAUUGAGCAACAAGAUAGUCUUCCUGAGAAGAAAGAAGACUCAAAGAUGAAAAGAAAACUUCUGUUACAAGACUUAAAGGCUGUUAGGAAACAUCAAACUACAAUUUCAAGCAGAGGAGAAGCCUGCUCAGCCACAGGUGGGGUAAAAUGAAGAAAGGAAGGAGUACAUUAUAAAUGGGAUGUAACAUGUGUAUUGGCCAAAGAAAGAUCAAUUGUAAAAAUCCUGCAUAAACAAUCCUCUUUGGGGGAGAAUAUAUUUCAAAUGGUUUUUCUCUAAAAAGCAAAGAGCAAGGUCUGUUUUUGUCAUUAUUUUUUCUUCUCAUUAGUUCCAAAAUUUAAAAAAAAAACAUCUUUGGGAUAUGGGAGCCUAUUCUAUUUACUAAAAUCUAAAGGAAGAGGACUUUUUUCUAGCUUUUUUUGUCUGGAACUUAUGAAUUUUGCAAAAUGCAGGCUCGUUCCUCUUUGUAUCCCUUGGUUUGUAGCUGAACCAAUUAUUUUGUGUUAAAAUGGUAGCUGCUGGAUUCCUUGCCUUCUCAUUAUUAUGCUUUCAGCCCCAUACCCAAGGUCAAGAGUCAGCACUCAGAGGCUUGUUACACACAGACCAUCUUUGGUCUUUCCUGGAUCUUAAUGUACAGCUGAGUUGCAAGAACACUGGAAUUCUCACUUGGUCACCAUGAUAAGAGAAUGGAUGUCACAGGAGUUGUAAAGCCAUGUCCUCUUUCUGAUCCUAAACCUCUCAGUUGUUUUUCACCUUGAAUAAGACUGAUGAGAAGCAGUGUUUCCUGAACAAAAGGGAAGAGGAAUGUGUUCAUCAGUCUGGCAAGAAGUUAUUAUCAAAGAGUUGCUUGUCAUCCAUUCUCCUCUACAGGAGAUCAAAAGUAGGAAAACACAAUAAAAGUCAUCAUAUACUAAGCA
rnacentral:lncRNA from 1 species